UUCCGGUUGAUCCUGCCGGACCCUACUGCUAUCGGGGUGGGACUAAGACAUGCAAGUCGUGCGUCUCUAAGCCAUGGUAGAGACGCGGCGUACGGCUCAGUAACACGUGGCUAACCUACCCUUAGGACGGGGACACCCCCGGGAAACCACGCGCGGGCACGUGAUCACCUUUCUCGACACGCUCAAAGCAUUGCUAUGUACACAUAGUUCGUGUGUAACUCGCUCUCCUUGACGAAAAAACCUAACCUGAGAAGCUUUGAGUCAACCAUUCACGGUAACACAUCACCGCCAACAGAAAUAACAGAAGCUCUGGCGUGGCCCAAAACUGGGGUUAAUACCCGAUGGGUGAGGAGGCCUGGAAUGGUUCUUCGCCGAAAAGGCGUUGAAACCAUGCUUUUUAACGUCGCCUAAGGAUGGGGCCGCGUCCGAUCAGGUUGUUGGUGAGGUAACGGCUCACCAAGCCUAUAACCGGUACGGGCCGUGAGAGCGGGAGCCCGGAGAUGGGCACUGAGACAAGGGCCCAGGCCCUACGGGGCGCAGCAGUCGCGAAAACUCCGCAAUGCGCGAAAGCGUGACGGGGCUACCCCGAGUGCCGUCCGCUGAGGAUGGCUUUUCCCCGGUGUAAUGAGCCGGGGGAAUAAGGAGAGGGCAAGACUGGUGUCAGCCGCCGCGGUAAUACCAGCUCUCCGAGUGGUGGGGAUGCUUAUUGGGCCUAAAGCAUCCGUAGCUGGUUGGGCAAGUUCUCCGUUAAAUCCAACGAUUCAAUCGUUGGGCUGCGGGGGAUACUGUCCGGCUAGGGGGCGGGAGAGGCCGACGGUAUUCUCGGGGUAGGGGUGAAAUCCUAUAAUCCCGGGAGGACCACCAGUGGCGAUGGCUGUCGCUAGACGCGCCCGACGGUGAGGGAUGAAAGCUGGCGGAGCG
rnacentral:rRNA from 1 species